rnacentral:rRNA from 1 species
GAUGAACGCUGGCGGCGUGCCUAAUACAUGCAAGUCGAGCGAACGGACGAGAAGCUUGCUUCUCUGAUGUUAGCGGCGGAAGGGUGAGUAACACGUGGAUAACCUACCUAUAAGACUGGGAUAACUUCGGGAAACCGGAGCUAAUACCGGAUGAUAUUUUGAACCGCAUGGUUCAAAAGUGACAGACGGUCUUGCUGUCACUUAUAGAUGGAUCCGCGCUGCAUUAGCUAGUUGGUAAGGUAACGGCUUACCAAGGCAACGAUGCAUAGCCGACCUGUGAGGGUGAUCGGCCACUCUGGAACUGAGACACGGUCCAGACUCCUACGGGAGGCAGCAGUAGGGAAUCUUCCGCGAUGGGCGAAAGCCUGACGGAGCAACGCCGCGUGAGUGAUGAAGGUCUUCGGAUCGUAAAACUCUGUUAUUAGGGAAGAACAUAUGUGUAAGUAACUGUGCACAUCUUGACGGUACCUAAUCAGAAAGCCACGGCUAACUACGUG